rnacentral:rRNA from 1 species
UACACACCGCCCGUCACGCUAUGGAAGCCGGUAACACCUGAAGUCGCUGAGCUAACCCGCAAGGGGGGGCAGGCGCCGAGGGUGGGAUCGGUAACUGGANCG